ACUUUCCUCAUAUUGGCUUCUACCGCAAGAGUUGCAGCCAAAACCAGAAGGAUGAUAAAGAUAAGGAAAACCCCAUUCAUAGUCCACAAAAGUGGGAUUAAAUAAGAUUUUUCGUGAUUUCUCUCAUGUUUCUCUACAAACUUUUCCCACAAACUUGAUCGCUCAAAGUAUAGAAACGCUCUCCAGUAACAAAGUAUACCUUGCACCAUCAGAGUGUAUCUAAACCCAUACAACCACGAGAUCCCUCCCAAAACCCUAUUGAUUCCCAAGUAAAUAGGUCUCAAUAUAAAGAGGAAGAUAGGACGCAUAACAUACUGGUAAAUGGGAUGGAGAACAAACUGGUAAACAAAGAGGAAGAUAGGACGCAUAACAUACUGGUAAAUGGGAUGGAGAACAAACUGGUAAACAAAGUGAUAAACCCCGAAAACAAAAUCCCCAAAAUUAACCAUUGACAAUGUAGAAAGGGAAAGGGAAAGGAAGAAGCUUAGAAAUGGAUCUGAAAAUGGUGGAGAAAGAAGAGCGAGAGGAAAUAGGAGUGGCACCGUGGGUUGUUUUAUAAGAAAAAUAAAAUCUUUUUUACCAUUUUCAUUCAUUGUUUGUCGUUUAUGCACGUGCAUUCGUCCCUCUUUUUU